rnacentral:rRNA from 1 species
GUUAAGCGAAGAAGAGCGCAGGGUGGAUGCCUUGGCACUAAGAGCCGAUGAAAGACGUGAUAAGCUGCGAAAAGCUUCGGGGAGGAGCAAAUAUCCAUUGAUCCGGAGAUAUCUGAAUGGGGAAACCCGGCGGAGGAACCCUCCGUCAUCCAUACGCCAAUCCAUAACGUAUGGAGGGGAACCCGGUGAACUGAAACAUCUAAGUAGCCGGAGGAAGAGAAAGAAACAUCGAUUCCGGGAGUAGCGGCGAGCGAAACCGGAAGAGCCCAAACCUGGGUGCGUGCAUCCAGGGGUUCGGACUGCAUUUAAGAUUCAGGAUAGCUAGUGGAAUGGCUUUGGGAAAGCCAGCCAGAGAGGGUGAAAGCCCCGUACACGAAAGCUUGAGAGACUGAGCAGGAUCCAGAGUACCACGAGACACGGGAAACCUUGUGGGAAAGAGCGGGGACCACCCCGUAAGGCUAAAUACUACUUAGUGACCGAUAGCGCAUAGUACUGUGAAGGAAAGGUGAAAAGGACCCCGGGAGGGGAGUGAAAGAGAACCUGAAACCCUGUGUUUACAAGCUGUGGAACUACGUUAAGGUAGGACCGCGUACUUUUUGUAGAACGGUCCGGCGAGUUGCGUUUACUGGCGAGGUUAAGGACGGGAAGUCCGGAGCCGGAGGGAAACCAAGUCUUAAUAGGGCGAGAAGUCAGUGGAUGCAGACCCGAAACCGGGUGAUCUACCCAUGUCCAGGUUGAAGCUGCCGUAAGAGGUAGUGGAGGACCGAACGCACAUCCGUUGAAAAGGGUGGCGAUGAGGUGUGGGUAGGGGAGAAAUUCCAAUCGAACCCGGAGAUAGCUGGUUCUCCUCGAAAUAGCUUUAGGGCUAGCCUCGUAUUAGUCUAGUGGAGGUAGAGCACUGAAUUUCCUAGGGGGCGUCAAAGCCUACCGAAGAAUAUCAAACUCCGAAUGCCAUAUAGAUGAUGUACGGGAGUCAGACUGCACGAGAUAAGUUGGGUGGUCAAAAGGGAAAGAGCCCAGACCUCCGGCUAAGGUCCCAAAGUGCGUGUUAAGUGGAAAAGGAUGUGGGAUUUCGAAGACAACCAGGAUGUUGGCUCAGAAGCAGCCAUACAUUCAAAGAGUGCGUAAUAGCUCACUGGUCGAGAGGUCCUGCGCCGAAAAUGUCCGGGGCUGAAACACGACACCGAAGCUGAGGAAUCCUAAGGGAUUGGUAGAGGAGCAUUGCAUACGCGAUGAAGCAGUACCGAAAGGAGCUGUGGAGUGUAUGGAAGAGAGAAUGCCGGAAUGAGUAGCGAGAGGAAGGUGGGAAUCCUUCCGGCCGAAUAUCCAAGGUUUCCAGAGUAAAGCUGAUCUGCUCUGGGUAAGUCGGGGCCUAAGGCCAGGUCGAAAGACGUAGCCGAUGGACAACAGGUUGAGAUUCCUGUACUGCGAUAUGACAGAACUGUGGGGACGCAUGUGGAAAGCAUAAGCACGGAAUGGAAAGCCGUGUACAAGCGAGGUAGGAGUCACGUAGGAAAAACCGCGUGGCAAUCCGAAGACGUGAUGUGGACCGAACUUUCAGUAGGGAAGUAUGUGAGCCAUGUGCCGGGAAAAGCCGCUAUUGUUCAUACCGCACCCGUACCGUAAACCGACACAGGUGGAUGAGGAGAGAAUCCUAAGGCCGACGGAAGAAGCAUUGUUAAGGAACUCGGCAAAAUAGCCCCGUAACUUCGGGAGAAGGGGUGCCUGGAAACAGGCCGCAGAGAAUUGGCCCAAGCAACUGUUUAGCAAAAACACAGGUCUAUGCGAAACCGAAAGGUGAGGUAUAUGGGCUGACGCCUGCCCGGUGCUGGAAGGUUAAGAGGAGAGCUUAGCGCAAGCGAAGGUUUGAAUUUAAGCCCCAGUAAACGGCGGCCGUAACUAUAACGGUCCUAAGGUAGCGAAAUUCCUUGUCGGGUAAGUUCCGACCCGCACGAAAGGCGUAAUGAUUUGGGCGCUGUCUCGACAAUGCAUCCGGUGAAAUUGAAGUACCAGUGAAGAUGCUGGUUACCUGCGCCAGGACGGAAAGACCCCAUGGAGCUUUACUCCAGCUUGACACUGGGAUUCGGUAAUGCAUGUACAGGAUAGGUGGGAGGCAANNNNNNNNNNNNNNNNNNNNNNNNNNNNNNNNNNNNNNNNGCUGUUGGGAUACCACCCUUGCGUUAUUGGGUUUCUAACCUGCCGCCGUUACCCGGCGGGGGGACAAUGUCUGGCGGGGAGUUUGACUGGGGCGGUCGCCUCCGAAAGUGUAUCGGAGGCGCCCAAAGGUUCCCUCAGAAUGGUUGGAAACCAUUCGAAGAGUGCAAAGGCAGAAGGGAGCUUGACUGCGACACCGACGGGUGGAGCAGGUACGAAAGUAGGGCUUAGUGAUCCGGUGGUAUUAAGUGGGAAUGCCAUCGCUCAACGGAUAAAAGCUACCCUGGGGAUAACAGGCUUAUCACUCCCAAGAGUUCACAUCGACGGAGUGGUUUGGCACCUCGAUGUCGGCUCAUCGCAUCCUGGGGCUGUAGUAGGUCCCAAGGGUUGGGCUGUUCGCCCAUUAAAGCGGUACGCGAGCUGGGUUCAGAACGUCGUGAGACAGUUCGGUCCCUAUCCGGCGCGGGCGUAGGAUAUUUGAGAGGAGCUGCCCUUAGUACGAGAGGACCGGGGUGGACUGACCUCUGGUGUACCGGUUGUCAUACCAAUGGCACGGCCGGGUAGCCAAGUCGGGCAGGGAUAAACGCUGAAGGCAUCUAAGCGUGAAGCCCCCCUCAAGAUGAGAUAUCCCAAGACCCCUUGAAGAACACGAGGUAGAUAGGGCAGAGGUGGAAGUGCAGUAAUGCAUGGAGCUGACUGCUACUAAUCGGUCGCAAGCUU